rnacentral:rRNA from 1 species
UCCCCUAGUAACGGCGAGUGAAGAGGGAAAAGCUCAAAUUUUGAAUCUGGUGUCUUUGACCCCCGAGUUGUAAUCUAGAGAAGUGUUUUCCGUGUCGGACCGUGUACAAGUUCCCUGGAACGGGGCGUCAUAGAGGGUGAGAAUCCCGUAUAUGCCACGGACUACCGAYGCUCUGUGAUACACUCUCAACGAGUCGAGUUGUUUGGGAAUGCAGCUCAAAAUGGGUGGUAAAUUCCAUCUAAAGCUAAAUAUUGGCGAGAGACCGAUAGCGAACAAGUACCGUGAGGGAAAGAUGAAAAGCACUUUGGAAAGAGAGUGAAACAGUACGUGAAAUUGUUGAAAGGGAAGCGUUUGAAGUCAGUCGCGUCUGUUGGGAUUCAGCCUGGCUUUUGCCUGGUGUAUUUCCUUUCYGACGGGUCAGCAUCAGUUUCGACCGAGGGAAAAAGACAUUUGGAAUGUGGCUGUCUUCGGGCAGUGUUAUAGCCUUGUGUUGUAUGUCUCGGUUGGGACUGAGGAAYGCAGCGCGCCUUAUGGCCGGGGGUCGCUCCUCUCGACACGCGCUUAGGAUGCUGGCAUAAUGGCUUUAAGCGGCCCGUCUUGAAACACGGACCAAGGAGUCUAACAUGUGCGCGAGUGUUUGGGUGUAAAACCCGAGCGCGAAAUGAAAGUGAAAGGUCGGGAACAUUCAUUUGUGCACCGACGCCCGGAGCAGACCUUCUGUGACGCAUCCGCGGUAGAGCGUGUAUGUUGGGACCCGAAAGAUGGUGAACUAUGCCUGAAUAGGGUGAAGCCAGAGGAAACUCUGGUGGAGGCUCGUAGCGAUUCUGACGUGCAAAUCGAUCGUCAAAUUUGGGKAUAGGGGCGAAAGACUAAUCGAACCAUCUAGUAGCUGG